rnacentral:rRNA from 1 species
UAUCCGCCUGGGAACUACGAGCACCAGCUUAAAACCCAAAGGACUUGGCGGUGCUUUAGAUCCUUCUAGAGGAGCCUGUUCUAGAACCGAUAACCCCCGUUCAACCUCACCUUUCCUUGUUUUCCCCGCCUAUAUACCGCCGUCGUCAGCCCACCCUGUGAAGGUUCAAAAGUAGGCAAAAUUGGCAAAGCCCAGAACGUCAGGCCGAGGUGUAGCGUAUGGGAAGGGAAGAAAUGGGCUACAUUCCCUAUUUUAGGGUAUACGAAUGAUCUACUGAAACGUAGAUCUUGAAGGAGGAUUUAGCAGUAAGCAGGAAAUAGAGCGUUCCGCUGAAAUUUCUC